AGAGUUUGAUCAUGGCUCAGAUUGAACGCUGGCGGCAUGCUUUACACAUGCAAGUCGAGCGGGGUGGAGGGGCAACUCUUCAUUCAGCGGCGGACGGGUGAGUAACACAUCGGAACGUAUCCUGAAGUGGGGGACAACCCAGCGAAAGCUGGGCUAAUACCGCAUAUGCUCGGGAGAGGAAAGCAGGGGACCGCAAGGCCUCGUGCUUUGGGAGCGGCCGAUGUCCGAUUAGCUAGUUGGUGGGGUAAAGGCCUACCAAGGCGACGAUCGGUAGCUGGUCUGAGAGGAUGAUCAGCCACACUGGGACUGAGACACGGCCCAGACUCCUACGGGAGGCAGCAGUGGGGAAUUUUGGACAAUGGGGGCAACCCUGAUCCAGCCAUGCCGCGUGCGGGAAGAAGGCCUUCGGGUUGUAAACCGCUUUUGGUCGGGAAGAAAGGGUUUGGGUUAAUACCCUGGACUGUUGACGGUACCGGCAGAAUAAGCACCGGCUAACUACGUGCCAGCAGCCGCGGUAAUACGUAGGGUGCGAGCGUUAAUCGGAAUUACUGGGCGUAAAGCGUGCGCAGGCGGUUCGUUGUGUCUGAUGUGAAAGCCCCGGGCUCAACCUGGGAAUGGCAUUGGAAACUGGCGAGCUAGAGUGUGGCAGAGGGGGGUGGAAUUCCGCGUAGCAGUGAAAUGCGUAGAGAUGCGGAGGAACACCGAUGGCGAANNNACCCCCUGGGCUGACACUGACGCUCAGGCACGAAAGCGUGGGGAGCAAACAGGAUUAGAUACCCCAGUAGUCC
rnacentral:rRNA from 1 species